ensembl:lncRNA
CGUCACCGGGGAGUCUGAAACACGGCCAAGUCUCCCACCAACUCCGGUCGGAGCCGAGGCGAGGCGGCGGUCUGCGGCGCGUCCAGCGGCCGGGCGCGGGGCUCCUCCGGGCGGCUUGUCUUCACUGCCGCCGUCGGUCGUGGUCCGGUUUCUUUCUUUUUCCUCCUCAACUCCGCUCCAAACUAAACGUGUUCACGUUAAAAACGUGCAGCUCGCGCUCAAGUCGGCUACAAUGGCCCGGUGACCGACUUCCGGUCUUGUCCAUACUGACUAUGUUGAACUUGAUGUUUCCCAAACCGGCCAUCGCAGACAAAUCUAUCACAGGAACCUGGAGCAACCCGCUGUGAUCUGCUGGACGUGGCGGUGUUUCUGCAGCGUCGGUGGACGUGAUGUGGCACGCGUCACGAAGCACGUGCGUGUUCAGGUGAAUCUUCAGAGCUGAAUGCUGGAAUGUGAAGAAUGAAAUGGGUGGGGGUGAAAACAGCACCAUCCCGGAGAAGAAACAGCCCCCACCUUUAUGCACCAACCACCUGGUUAGGGGAUACAUGGAUGGGAAAUGGGAUUAUUGCUUCCCAAGUCUCUGUACUUUUUCAUUUUCUUGUCAGAACUUCGUGGGAAUUCUGCCGUAUUAAAUUCCAACACAAG